UGGGCUUGACUGUCCGCCAUUCUGCAGAGAUGCGGGAGUGCCCUUCGGGGAAUCGGAACAC
rnacentral:rRNA from 1 species